rnacentral:rRNA from 1 species
AACGAACGCUGGCGGCAUGCCUAACACACGCAAGUCGAACGAAGCCUUCGGGCUUAGUGGCGCACGGGUGCGUAACGCGUGGGAAUCUGCCCUUUGGUUCGGAAUAACAGUUGGAAACGACUGCUAAUACCGGAUGAUGACGAAAGUCCAAAGAUUUAUCGCCAGAGGAUGAGCCCGCGUAGGAUUAGCUAGUUGGUGUGGUAAAGGCGCACCAAGGCGACGAUCCUUAGCUGGUCUGAGAGGAUGAUCAGCCACACUGGGACUAAGACACGGCCCAGACUCCUACGGGAGGCAGCAGUGGGGAACAUUGGACAAUGGGCGAAAGCCUGAUCCAGCAAUGCCGCGUGAGUGAUGAAGGCCCUAGGGUUGUAAAGCUCUUUUACCCGGGAUGAUAAUGACAGUACCGGGAGAAUAAGCCCCGGCUAACUCCGUGCCAGCCGCCGCCGUAA